rnacentral:rRNA from 1 species
UACGUAGGGGGCGAGCGUUGUCCGGAGUUACUGGGCGUAAAGCGCACGCAGGCGGUCUGUUAAGUUUGGAGUGACAGUUGGUGGCUCAACCACCAAAGUGCUUUGAAAACUGAUAGACUUGAGGGCUUCAGAGGGACACGGAAUUCCGGGUGGAGUGGUGAAAUGCGUAGAGAUCCGGAGGAACACCAAAGGCGAAGGCAGUGUCCUGGGGAGUACCUGACGCUGAGGAGCGAAAGCGUGGGGAGCGAACAGG